CAUUUUUUUAAGUUAGGUUUUGGACAUCCAUGUGAAUCCACAAUUCGGGAGACUUUUUCUAAUUUUUCUUCUGUGUUGGAGAAUUGGUUGGAUUUUCCACAGGUUUUCUCUACUCUUUAGCGCUUCGAUCAAAGAUAGACAAUCUGACUAGAUGAUGAUUCUUCCCACGUCCAGACUACUGUUGUUGCUCUUGAUUUGAUUAUGUCCGAGAAUGUGUAUCCACAAUUCCACAUUGACCUUAAUCCAAUCCUCUAGAGGAACUCGCCACGUUAUAGGAAACUCUGGUCCAUUCACAAAGAAAUAGCGCAUGCCCCACUGCUUCUUCUUACAGCAUACAAACAGGACAAAUAGGAUUAAUGAUUAUUCUUUUCUUUACAAGGUUUAUCCUUAUUGGGAUUAUGUUGUAGACAACUUUUCACAUGAAUAUUUUAUUUUUUUUUGUGGAGCCUUCAUCCCCCAAUUUCCUUUCCAUAACUACCUAUAAUUAUUACUUGUUGUUUGGUGCAUUCCUUUUCUUGCACUU